rnacentral:rRNA from 1 species
AGAGUUUGAUCAUGGCUCAGAAUCAACGCUGGCGGCGUGCCUCAGACAUGCAAGUCGAACGCGAAAGUCCCCUUCGGGGGACAAGUAGAGUGGCGCACGGGUGAGUAACACGUAGGUAAUCUACCUUCGGAUGGGGAAUAACAACCGGAAACGGUUGCUAAUACCGCAUAAUGCAGCGGCACCUAAUGGUGACAGUUGUUAAAGCGGGGGAUCGAAAGACCUCGCGUCUGAAGAGGAGCCUGCGGCGGAUUAGCUAGUUGGUAAGGUAACGGCUUACCAAGGCAACGAUCCGUAGCCGGCCUGAGAGGGCGGUCGGCCACACUGACACUGACAUACGGGUCAGACUCCUACGGGAGGCAGCAGUCGGGAAUUUUGGGCAAUGGGCGAAAGCCUGACCCAGCAACGCCGCGUGAAGGAUGAAAUCCCUCGGGAUGUAAACUUCGCAAGAACGGGAAGAAUAAGUAGGGGACAAUACCCCCUAUGAUGACGGUACCGUUUGUAAGCUCCGGCUAACUCCGUGCCAGCAGCCGCGGUAAUACGGGGGGAGCAAGCGUUGUUCGGAUUUACUGGGCGUAAAGGGCGCGUAGACGGCCAGCACAAGUCAGUUGUGAAAUCUCCGAGCUUAACUCGGAAAGGUCAACUGAUACUGUGCGGCUAGAGUGCGGAAGGGGCAACUGGAAUUCUUGGUGUAGCGGUGAAAUGCGUAGAUAUCAAGAGGAACACCUGCGGCGAAGGCGGGUUGCUGGGCCGACACUGACGCUGAGGCGCGAAAGCCAGGGGAGCGAACGGGAUUAGAUACCCUAGUAGUCC